AUUUAAUGAUGAACGAAAUCUUUGGUCCGUGUUUAUGACGGGAAGUAAGACCCCCGGUAUGAGUGACACAGAGAAU
rfam:Ashbya gossypii ATCC 10895 chromosome VI, complete sequence.